UUUCUUUGGGUUGCUUCUUGCUCGAAUUUUAUUUCUUUUUCAAUUUAGAGUUUGUUGUCUGAUAUUUGUUUAUUAUUUGUUUUGCAGGUAUCUUAAAAAAUGCAUUCGAUUGCUUCUUUUCUUUUUCUUGGUGUUAAUUUUCUGGUUGUAUGUAUGGAUUUUUUUAAAAUACUUCAAUUCUUUUGAUUUUUUAGUUUUUUGCUUUGUUUUAUUAUAUUGUAUUUCCUGCCUAGAAUAAACUUUCAUUGGUGAUGACGCCUUUCGCUGAUGUUGCAAAGAUUUUUUUUACUAUUUCGAGAUAUUUUCUUAUUGGAAAAUUUAUCCUUGGAUACUUCUCUAUAUAAAACGUUGCAGCAAGGGCAUGAUCUCAUUUUUUUUCGUGGUAAAUGUUUUUACCCAGUUAGGAUUCAUUAUGUUUUAUAGCAAAUUGCAGGACUAUAUACCUAAAUUCUUUUUCGUGCUUCUGGGAUUAUAAUGACUGCAACUCAACACCUGAUGAUUUGCAAAAUCAUUUUAAGAACAAAAGAACACUUAUCAGUUUUUGGAAACAACCAAGAAGAACUUUUUUUUUGUUUGAAGCAGCCAACUAAGAAGAAGAUGAUUUUUUUUGCUCAAUUGAAAACGAUGAGAUUAACAAUGGUCUUCGAGAAAAAAAAGGUUCGAUUUUUUCUGAAAUGAUGAACAACAACAUUUUAUUUUCUUUAGGUUAUCUUUAACAUAUAUUAAUUGACUAAAUUUCCUAAAAGUAAUUGUGGAAGGUUAUUAGAACGAAAUUAAAGUAAAUAGGUGCAAGAUUAGAGCAUCUUAAUUGUGAAGCCAUUCCACCAAUAAUUAGAAUAUAAGAGGUACAAGAUUGAUUCGUCUACGUUCUCUUUUUAUGAUUUAUGUGGAUAUUUUAAGAUGCAUUAGCUCUUCGUUCGUGAUGAACAUGUGAAGUAUUUGAGAAAAAAAACGAAUACAGUUCUUCAAAAGAGGUAUCCUUCAAAAGUAUGAUCAGAUGAAGAAAGUACAAACUCAUACUUGAUGGUAAAAGACUCGGGUAAAAUUACGACACAUACUGAACGAAGUAAUGCAUGAAGAUUGUCUUUUUGGUCAUACCACUCUAGAAACCAUUUAUAUUCAGUAAUACCAAAAUGAUUGGUUGUAUCUUACUUUGGAAUAAAUUUAACAGCUUUCUUAGAUUGUCUGAUGCUUGAGCAAGAAAAAAGAAACAACAAGGUGAUGUUAAGGUAUUAUUUGUGCGAGGUAUAACUAUAAAAAAAUUCUACAGAUAUAGGCCAUAAGUUGGAGAUACAAAAAUAAUUUAUGGGGAUUUUCAUGCUGGACCCGUUGUCAUUCUUCGCGGUAUUAACGGAAACUAUGAGGGAGUCUUUCAUUUCUUGAAUUAGAUAGGCAAAAGUUUUGAACGGAUUAUUUGUUUAUUAUCAGUUGUGUCAUUAUUUACUCAAAAUGCAUACCGUUGUAUAGCAUGAUGUUAUCAAUAUGCGUACAGAAACUAAAUAGAACAAUUCUCUGGUUUUUCUUAGUUUAGUUAUCAGACACCAUUAUUGUGGGUCGAGUUUUACAA